GCCGGGGUGGCGGAAUUGGUAGACGCGAGAGACUUAAAAUCUCUUGGGGUGAUUCCCCGUGCGGGUUCGAGUCCCGCCCCCGGCA
rnacentral:tRNA from 1 species